rnacentral:siRNA from 1 species
GAGGAUGACCAAAUUUGACAGCAU